UUUUAGCUAUGUGCCCUUUGUGAAUGUGUUACUGACACCAGCUCAUUUAAUCUUCUUAUCAACCUUAAGGGCGAAAACACCCUCACUGAUAACCUUGCCACGCAUAGUAGACAGAUGCAGCGCUACAAUCCCACUGUGGAGAGAUCUGGAGGACAGUGAUGGAGGAAAAUCUUCCCAGUGGGCAGACUUGAGCAGUUCAUCUGGUUGUUUGUUUUGCCUGGAAGGAGCAAUGGCUAGAGGCCUCUCACUGUUGUGGUCUCUCCCGUUGCGGAGCACAGGCUCCGGACGCGCAGGCUCAGCGGCCAUGGCUCACGGGCCCAGCUGCUCCGUGGCAUGUGGGAUCCUCCCGGACCGGGGCACGAACCUGUGUGCCCUGCAUCGGCAGGCGGACUCUCAACCACUGUGCCACCAGGGAAGCCCCAGGUAGGAUUAUUGAUGUCACAGUACCUUCAGUAAUGAAGGUUUG